rnacentral:rRNA from 1 species
UUGGAGGGCAAGUCUGGUGCCAGCAGCCGCGGUAAUUCCAGCUCCAAUAGCGUAUAUUAAAGUUGUUGCAGUUAAAAAGCUCGUAGUUGAGUUUCGGAAUCUGUCCAUUGGUCGGGCUUCACUGUCCGUACUGGUGUGGUGGGUUCUUACCUUCUGAAUAACCAGCAUGCCAUUCACUUGGUGCGUUGGGGAAGCAGGACUAUUACCUUGAAAAAAUUAGAGUGCUCAAAGCAGGCUAGUGCCUGAAUACAUUAGCAUGGAAUAAUAAAAUAGGACGGCAUGGUUCUAUUUUGUUGGUUUCUAGGAUCACCGUAAUGAUUAAUAGGGAUAGUUGGGGGCAUUAGUAUUCAAUUGUCAGAGGUGAAAUUCUUGGAUUUAUUGAAGACUAACUUCUGCGAAAGCAUUUGCCAAGGAUGUUUUCAUUAAUCAAGAACGAAAGUUAGGGGAUCGAAGACGAUCAGAUACCGUCGUAGUCUUAACCAUAAACUAUGCCGACUAGGGAUCGGACGAUGUUAAUUUUUUAAUGACUCGUUCGGCGCCUUACGGGAAAC